rnacentral:rRNA from 1 species
UACGUAGGUGGCAAGCGUUAUCCGGGUUUACUGGGUGUAAAGGGCGUGUAGGCGGGGAAGCAAGUCAGAUGUGAAAACCACGGGCUCAACCUGUGGCCUGCAUUUGAAACUGUUUUUCUUGAGUACUGGAGAGGCAGACGGAAUUCCUAGUGUAGCGGUGAAAUGCGUAGAUAUUAGGAGGAACACCAGUGGCGAAGGCGGUCUGCUGGACAGCAACUGACGCUGAGGCGCGAAAGCGUGGGGAGCAAACAGG